CCGCCAUCUUUAUUGUGCCCAUCACCUCCCCUCUCCUUCCUCUCUCUAGCCCAAACCCUCUCUCUCUCUUGGCAUCCCCUUGUUGGAGCUUUUAGAGAGGUGGGUGCCAAUAUUAUUUUGGUGUCAAUUGGUUGGUUCCAAGUUGUUGUUUGGUUUCAUCUUCUUUCUCUAAAAUUGUUAGGAGUUAGUUACAACCACUUCUUGGUUGUUGUUCUUUUUGAUUAGUUGAGGGAUCAAGAAAGGUUCUUCGUUUCUU
rnacentral:lncRNA from 1 species